rnacentral:rRNA from 1 species
AGCAGUAGCCGCGGUAAUACAGAGGGUGCAAGCGUUAAUCGGAAUUACUGGGCGUAAAGCGCGCGUAGGUGGUUUGUUAAGUCGGAUGUGAAAUCCCUGAGCUUAACUUAGGAAUUGCAUUCGAUACUGGGAAGCUAGAGUAUGGGAGAGGAUGGUAGAAUUCCAGGUGUAGCGGUGAAAUGCGUAGAGAUCUGGAGGAAUACCGAUGGCGAAGGCAGCCAUCUGGCCUAAUACUGACGCUGAGGUACGAAAGCAUGGGGAGCAAACAGGAUUAGAUACCCCGGUAGUCCCUGUCUCUUAUAC